GGUUUGUGGAUAAGAAAACCUCCCUCUUUCAUAUGCGUGGCAGCUCCACCGCAACCUUAACGCCAUGGCUGGGAUAACCGGCGCUCUCCCUUUCAAUCCUCUCUUCUUAAGUCCCGCCAAAACUGCGCCUACUUCAUCACUCUCACUCUCCUCCUUCGAAUCCAGGCUCUUCGGUUACCACCUCCGUCAAAACAACGUCGCUCCAUUUGCUCUCUCCUCUUCUCUCCGCAGCUUCACAACUAGAGCUCGAUACGGCGGCGGCUCUCGCUUCUCGGGGUCCGGCGACUCUAGGAGGUCACGGAAAAGCGAUUCGGAUGACGAUCAAGUCCUCGAUGUCUCCACUAUUAGGUCAGAUUCCGUGAGGCUCAUUGAUGAAAAGCAGAAUAUGGUCGGUAUUGUUUCUAAAAGUGCAGCUAUACAAAUGGCGGAAGAUGCUGAGCUUGAUCUGGUGAUCUUAUCCCCUGAUGCUGAUCCUCCAGUUGUCAGAAUUAUGAAUUACAGCAAAUACAGAUAUGAGCAGCAAAAGAAGAAAAAAGAACAGCAGAAAAAAACCAGCCGUGUGGUUUUAAAGGAGCUCAAAAUGGGUUACAAUAUCGAUGAGCAUGAUUAUUCUGUGCGUUUGAAAGCGGCACGGAAGUUUUUGAAAGAUGGUGACAAGGUUAAAGUGAUAGUGAACAUGAAAGGGCGGGAAAAUGAGUUCAGAAACAUUGCUAUUGAGCUCAUUAGACGUUUCCAGAAUGAUAUUGGGGAGCUUGCAACUGAGGAGAGCAAAAACUUCAGGGAUAGAAACUUGUUCAUAGUUUUGGUUCCAAAUAAAGCUGUUCUACAGAAACCUCAAGAACCACCAAAGAAAAAGAAUAACGCAGCCAUAAAUGAAGUAUCAGCAGGAGUCUGAGUGCAUCAGGUAGAUUAAAGAGGGCUUCUAAUAGUGGAACAUCUGGCAGCUUUAAAGUGAUAGUGAAGAGCCCAAUACAUUAUUUAUGCAACAAAAAUGAGAAUUUUACUUGGAAUUAGACGCUGAAUUAUGUUCGGGGAAGGGGGUUAAAUGAUGUUGCAAGAGCCAUAACAACCCACCUGCAGAAAGCAAAGCUUUCAGGUUCUAUGCCAUUAUAGGUGUUAUGGCUAGCAGAAUGGUCCUACUCCUGCGUAGAAACAGAUUGCAUGUGCUACAUGGGAAUUUCUACAUAGAUUUAUUUUUCGUUCUUAACAGUUUUGUAAUUAAUGCAUGUUACAUAUAUAUAUAUAUAUGUAUAUAUAUUUGUUUGCCAAAAGUUUUUGGAAAA